CAUCCCGUGGCCCCUCCCGGAGGCCCUCACUCCGAUCCACUCGCCGCGCGCGUGCAAAGCCUGGGAGCGCUCCCCGGCUCGGGAUGGUUACCCCCUCUUUGCAAAGAUCCCAGGGCCCGGAGUCCCACCACCACCACCACCCCGGGUCACACCAGAGAGAGGAGGAGGCGCGGGGUACCGUGGGUGCGGGUCCUGGAGCUCUUCUCCUGGGACCCACCGUGGCUACCUCCCUCUGUGUGUCUGGUUUUCUUUUCCCCCCCCUUAGGCAAACUUUCCCAGGCGCGUUUCGGGGGUGAGCGUGGGAGGGGGGAGGGGACGCACCUCCAAGUUUCCUUUACUGACUUUGGGACUAUCUCCAGUCUCAGCACCCCGCGUCUUGCCCCCUGGGGCAACUGGCCGCGCACCCCCCCCCACACCCGUGGUGAUGGCGGUUCCAAGGUGGCGGGACGGGGUGGGGGCGGCAGGAGAAGCCCAGGUCUGGGUGCGUCUCGGACAGGAGGGCCGCCCCUAGCCGCGCCCGGCUCAGGGGCAGUUCUGGGCGAAGGGGGUUGAUUAUUGAUCGGGUUGAUUGGGUUGCGAGAGGAUCCAGGAGGGACCCGGCCGAUGCGCCCAGAGAAAGAGGCAGCUGGCUGGUUGCGGGGUUGCGUUGGCGACAGGGCCACGGAAGCUCACUUACUCUGGCGGCGAGGGCGCCGGCGGGCUGGGAUAAUUCACGCGGGCGACCCUCGGGCGGUGGUGACGGUGGAGCGGCAGCCAGAGCCCGGGCGGCGGCGCAUCGAUGCGCUGCGGGCUCGAUUGCGUCUCCCUGGGCCAGCUCUUAGGCCGAGAAUGGGGCGGCCGCGGCGCAGCGGGGCUCCGGGGCGCUGCUGGGCGGUUGUGGCUAAAGGUGGCCUCUGGGCCCCCAGGUCCCCGGAGACGCACUGUGUCUGGGGGCCCUGGCAUCCAUUGGAGCCCCCCGAGGCCCACAGUCCACCCUAGGGCCCGCGCCCUGCGCCCCAGGACUAGCCGCAGCCUGAGCGCACUGGAAGCUGCAAACCCUGGCUGGCCUUCCUUCCUUGCUUUCUUCUUCUUCUUUUUCUUUCUUUCUCCCCUUAUUAUUUUAAACUUAUUCUUCUCUCCCCUCUUUUUCAACCCUGUUUCUUUUUCCACGCUCUCUUGUGGUUGUUCUUCAAGUUUUGAAAGUUCACCAGCGUGCUUUCUUUUUCUUGUAGACCUGGAGACCCAAGAUCUCACCCUACCGGUAAGAUCAAAAGUCUCCGGCGGGCUUGGGCUGGGUCCAGACGCCUGCCUGAAUGCAGAUGUGUGGCUGAUGUCCUCCGGGGCUGUGCAGCCCGCUGCAGCGCCUAGGCGCUCUGCGAGCUAACCCGGUGCCAAGAUCCCGGGUGGAGCCGAAAGGCCGGAGACGGCUUGAGGCCGGGCUCCCGGGCUGCCUGCGUGUGUGUGUGUGUGUGUGUGUGUGUGUGUGUGUGUGUGUGUGUGUGUGUGUGUGUGUCGUACCCGUGGGUGGGCACACCCGAGCCGCUUGGUGCCAGUGGCCGCAGAAGCCGAAGCGGCGUCUCCUCUAGGCCGAGGAGACGCGGCCCCAGGGCGCGGGUAACGCUUCUUGCGAGCGAGGGAUCGGUGGUGAGUCGAGUCGGCUGGCCCUGCCGUUGGCCUCACGGGUUCAGGUGGCUACGGGACCCCGCUGGCCUGGACCAGGGUCGUUGCCGCUGGAAGUCAGACCCCGAAGGUCCCCAGCUCACGUUCCAAGCAUGGGGCACCCAUUUGGGCACGCCGGCGGCGACACGCUUACAGUGCUGGGCAAAGCGCUCACAGGGAGUUCGCCCAAAGGAUGCUUCCCUCUCCCUUUCCUUCUCUUUGCUGCUCUCUCAACCUUCGUUCCCUUGCCGCGAACCCCCUCUCCGGUGGCCUAAGGGCCGGUCCUCUUGUUGCCUGCGGGCACCCCUGCUCGCCAGUGCCUUUCCCUCCCUGCUCAGGCGCGGAGCUCUGUGUGAUCCGCCCUAACAUCUGUCCGUCCAACCAUUGGCGCAUCCAUCAGUGUCAAUGGGCUGCACAUUGCAGCGACAGCCUGUCACGCACAAGUCGGGCUGUGCGGUGUGCACACUAUGACCACACUGCCUUGCCCGGUGGGGCACUCAAACAGACCCGGCCGGCUUGGCACUGCUUGGGUUCCUGAUUUCUGCUUGAGUUCUUUUAGCUACAAGCACCUAUUCACCCCUAAUUUGAGGAUUCCAACACGUGCAUAGGUUUUUCAAGUCAUUCUAGAGACGGAACUGAGGAAAGCGGGCAAGGUCAACCUAGUCCUUAUAUUUCACUAGGAUUUAUUUUCUUUUCUGUGGUAGGGCUGGGUGUAACUAAAAGAGAACCCCCCCAAUCGCACAAAAUAGACCGUGAAACUACCUGAAUGCAGGACCUUAAGUCCCUCAACCUGGUCUAGGCUGUGGAGUUCGCCCGCUGCACUUAGCAAGAUUUCAAGUGGGGGAAAAAAAACUUUGCAUAAUCGGGGCUGACUGGGCUUCCCAGGGCUGACUGGAGAAAUGUGGACCGAUGGACUCUCAGUGAAAAGGAAGGAUUCCAUUUAGGGAGAAAUGGUGUCUAGGUAGCAGUAGGUCUGUAAUUCACUUAUUACAAAAAAAGGGGGGGGCAGAACCUUGAGAAACCAGUGCUUGCGGAUAGCCCCUGGCUUUCUGAGCUCCAGUUUUGGCUUCUUUCCGUUCUCGCUCCUUCUGCAACUACCCAGAUGGUAAACACACACACACACACACACACACACACACACACACACACACACAGGUGUCCCUGAUGAGUCUGACCCUCCCCAAGGCCUUCUGUUUGCUCUGAGAAGCUCAGGGGAAGGGUAUAUGCAGGUUCCUACCCCUAUGACAUCUGAAUGAAGUCUACCCGGCAUUUGACCUGACUUUAUUAUUGUUGUAAAUAUUUCUGUCGACUGCCCCGCCGGCAAGCAACCCUUUCGGCGGCACUUAGGGAACUCCGAAGGGAAAAGAGCUGGGUCCGAGCAAGCGCCAAGGUUCCUUUGGGUUCUGGAAAAGGCCAGGAAGGUUUGGGCAGGCACGCUGGGGGAAAGUUGCCUGUGCUUCAGGAUCUGGGCUCCACACACAGCCGUUCAGCUGUUUACACACUCUGCUAGAGGGCAGAAAACCCAUUCAUGGUGGAGGAGAUAGAAUUCUGUAAAGGAUAUACUAUGUAGAAACCCCUUACCCCACUCUUCAUAGAAACUCGGUUACCCUUUAAAGGCAAAGACAGGCUUUCCUUCUCUGUACAAGUACCUUGGAACCUCUGGUCCACUUUGAAUUGUGCUGGGCUAUAAAUGUCUAAGUCAGAUGCUUCUACCUGGAGGUGCUGCAUUUCCGGGAAUAAUCUCUUAAGCCCCUGAAAUAGAAGGAGGAAGAAAGAAUUGAAGGAAAUUAAAACGACUCACCUAAACACCCAGGGGCUAAAGCCCAUGACAGACACUGUGAGCUCUGGUCAGGAGAUUCGCUUUGAAAUCAGGUGGUCAUAUUGUUAGCUCUUGGCAUUCCCUAUAGCCAAGAAGGGGAUCCUGACCCAAGACUGCAUCUCACACUCGGUGGAAACGGGGUGACCCACUGUCUUCAGAUGGGGGAACAGUCUGCAGAAACCUCCAGAGAGAGUUGUCUGGGGCAAGGGUUAGACAUCCUACCCAGCUUUUCCAGUUUUGGACACUAGGUUUCCAUUCCUGGUACCUUUCCAAUCAUAGUCUCAUCCAUCUUGACUAGCCUGAGCCCCCCAAGGGUAGGGCAUUGCCAAGAAGCAUUUGGAGGAGCAAGGGACUGACCCCCCCCCAGCACAAUAUACUGUUUACAAAUGGAAAGUAGUAGCUUGACCACUGCCUGGAGGCAGCCAAGUUUGUGUUCUGGGUGGCAACUAAGGGCAGUUAGAUGACAGCCCUCCUGGUCCAAGGAAGGCUGGGGUAUGUCUUCAGUUGAAUGCCCACCAAGAGGAAGGAGCUGUCCUAAAUGCCACCAUGCCAGGACAAGGACCUAGGGUUGGCUGGCAUCCCCAAGAUACCUAGGACCUAAACUCCUACCUCAGAAAGGGGGUACCUGCUGGGUCCAUGAAAGUGUCACCUUGAAGGGCAAGGACUCUGGGAGCCUUUAGUGAUGGCAAGGGCUACAACCCCCAGGUGGGCCUUGACAGGGAGUCCUAGCCCUGGAUCCUCUCCAGCCUGAAGUGGUUGGGAAAUGUCCUGGACCUGCUUUAUCCCCGUGGCUUUUGUGGGUUAGGCAGAGACUGGGAAAUGCCAUAGGUCCUGAGACUCCUCCUACUUUCACUAUUUGCACACUUCAUUCAGGAAUUGGGCUUUUAGUUGCUACUAAAGCUGGAGGUUAGGUAGGGCCUGAGCCAGGCCCUCCAUGCAGGCGGGUAACUUGUUGGCAAAAGGUGCUUUUACACUGGCAGUGAAGUUUUGUUUCUCUUCUUUUCCCCGGUAGCUGGUAGCUUUGUUUGAAAAAACCAGAUGUUUUGUCUGUGAGUUCUCCCAAGAACUUUUACAGUUGGAACGUGGAAUAAACCUUUGAAAGUCGGGGCAGUAUAUUAAUGUUGCUUCUGUGGGGCUUGUGGAGAGAGCCGUGUCAGAUGCACAGGGGUGGAGGGGGGAACGAUCUUAGAAGAAAAGGAAGAGGGUGGUUUUAUGUAAAAUCAAGAGUUAGUUUGGGGAGGGUGAAGCACUAUCCAGAUCCAACACACCGGACUCACACAAUCAGGCACACACACACACACACACACACACACACACAUACACACACACACCACCCCCAUCAUGGUGUGGUGUCUAAAUUUCUCAAGUCUCGGGACUUGGAGGUGAAGGCUCAACGUUGCCUACGUGGUCAGUGUGAGUCUGCAGGUGUUGAGUGAGCGUCCUUCUCCUGCAGCCUUUGAUGCUGGGAAUCAGUCAGGAUGCGGAUGGGGCGGGUUGGAAGGUAGUUGACCAGAGUAGGGAGGACUUUGUUUAGGAAUCUCAGGGAGGCAGCCUUCCCCCCUUCCCACCCCAAGAAAUUUCCCCUUCUAGUAGCUUCAUUCCCCCACGCCCCAUCCCAGAUUCCCAGGCAGUUAGCAAUGCGUCUAAAGAAAAGUAAAACAAAAACUAAACCUAAUUUAACAGAGGGGCAGAAGAUGAAAAAUUCGGGGUGGGAUAGGGUCUGGACCUAAGCUAGGCAGCCUAGUUAUCCAUUGUGCCCGGUAGGGGUGGGGGUGGGGAGUUGAUUCCUUCUCUCCAUCCCCCCCCCCCACACAGUCUUUCCUGCAUACUCAGCGGGGCAUUUUCAAAUACCUCCGUUUUCUCCCCGAAAUGCUUUUUUUCAUUCGUUUACCGAAGUUUCAGAAAACUUUUUGGAGACCGAAGAUCAAAUAAAGAAAACAGAAAGUCUUAGUAUUUCGGUCUGAAGAGGACGGGACCCGAUUAAACCCAUUUAAAGAGCACAGUCGCCAGUGAAAUACCCUUUAGUCAGAUCCCACCUGCGGAUUGGGGGGGCCCUAAGGAGGAUUUCUCCUUAGGGCUCCCAGUCCUACAUUCUCUCCAACUCCACUGGGUGAAAUAGAUAUUUAGAAACCAUUUGGACAUCUUAAACACAAACAAGACCCGUGUUCAAGAUAGCCAUCGCCAGUCGAGGUGGGACUCGCUCCUGGCUAGGAGUGGGGAUAGCGCUUUGUGGAUGGGGAUGCGGAAGAUGCCCACCUGCUCCCGCGCGGCGGCGGCGAGCGCUCGCAGAUGUUAGUGACUCGAUGCUGGUCAGAACCCCCUCUCCCAUCCCCACCCCCGCCCGGCUCUUCGAAUAAAGGAGGUAGAGGUCCCAGCAGUCAAAACACCGGGUCAUCGAGGAACCAAACAGCCACCUUCCUUACCAAAUGGUCUCAGCAACUGGCCAGGGCAUUCGCCAAACCCCCACGAGGGAUCUCGUUCCCUUUCCUCUCUUCCUGGGGCGCUGCUUGUGCUUUCUAAUUCGCGAUGGUGUUUGGCUGUUUCCACUUCCCAAACGGGGAAGACCGAACACAGCACUGAAUAGGUAAAGAGGGGCGAGAGGCUCUAUUCUUUUCUCUUGGCUAUGUCUUGAAUACUUGAUAAAUACCACUUGUAGUUGGACGAUAGGGGGCCAGGGGGUCAGAUUAUGUAAUAUUCAAGUGGUGUCUGGCCCCCAGGGGCUCUUCUGUCUUAGAAGAUCUAAAGAUCCACAGAAGUCCUUACUAGAUUUUUGUCUUUGCUGCAGCGUGUCUUCCGUCGCUUGUAUUCCCCCCCAUGUUGUUCUCUCUCUUUUUUAAAAGAGUCUCUCUCCUUGACCGUCAAAGAAUUUUUUUAGGCUAUCCAUUUAGGAUCUAUGCGUUCUUCUCCUAGGUCAAAGCAGAGCUGUCACCACCCAGUGCACCAGUUCUGAGGGAACGAACCAGUUUGUGAGCGGCGAAUGGAAUCCGCACCAUCCAGGUCAGAUGGAAAAUAGAAGCUGGGAAAAUUUGACACUCUCAUUGAUCUGCUCUCCUCGAGAGAGAGAGUAUGGCUUCAAGAUUGCAAUUAGGAGCCAGCCUGCUAAGGGGUCCCUCUCUGAGCUCAGGUGCGGCACUGAUCAUGGGUUGCAAGCCCUGCCCCUUGUCUGCUGAGGAAGAGGAGGCUCUUCAUUCAUGGAUCCAAGCUGGAGCUGAACCUGCCGAACCUCCCAAAGAUCACCUGGCGCUUUACUCUCAUUUUUGCACUCACAUGGCAGCUCAUAAUCAUCUGUAACUCCGGGUCCAGAGGAUCUAAUGCCGUCUCUGAUCUCCUUGGGCACCAGGGACUCAAAUGGCGCACAGACAUACAUGUGGGCAAAACAUCCAUGUACAUGAAAUUAAAAGAAUUAUUGCA